UACGUAGGUGGCAAGCGUUGUCCGGAUUUACUGGGCGUAAAGAGCGCGCAGGCGGUCGUUCAAGUCGCGUGUGAAAGCCCCCGGCUCAACUGGGGAGGGUCACGCGAUACUGAUCGACUCGAAGGCAGGAGAGGGUAGUGGAAUUCCCGGUGUAGUGGUGAAAUGCGUAGAUAUCGGGAGGAACACCAGUAGCGAAGGCGGCACUCUGGGCCGGUACUGACGCUGAGGAGCGAAAGCGUGGGGAGCAAACAGG
rnacentral:rRNA from 1 species